CCGGAGUCCAGAGCGCACACCGCCGCCAGGGAAACAAACACUAUCGCUGUGGAACCGGCACACUAGAGGUCAGAUGGACCGCUACGGAGACAGCCACAAUCGGAGGACACCGAGGAACGGAGCAUCGUCACGGUGCAGGAGCAAACAGGACUCCAAGAGGACAAACAACGUCCAGGAAGCUUGAAAUCAGUGGAAUUUAAACGGAGACAUCCAACAAGUGAAGGACGGGGAGGCGAAAUGACGGAGUCCGCAGCUGGACGGACUGGGAGGAGGCGGAGGGAGGAGAGGAGCCGCCCCGCAUCACACAACCUCCUGGAGAAGACGUGAUGUGGAAGGCCUGCAUGUCAGAGGAAUACCAGAAACAUAAGUGGACAGCUGAGGUAGUUACUACAGGACAUAUUAUUAACACAAGAGGUAUGUUGUAGUGGCAAAGAUCCCACAGAUGUGUCAUUCGGAGUGACUGACUUUAACUGACUGCUAGUAAAAUGUGUCACUAAAAGACUAUAAUGAGAUACAGUUAAACCUCAAUGCAAACGAUUUAAAAGAUCACUGCUACAAAAUGUAAAAAUGUCACUGUGUACUAUCGCAUAUUGAGAAAUUCUAAAUAAGAGAAUAAAACAAACAAAUGAACUGCA